rnacentral:rRNA from 1 species
UACGUAGGGUCCGAGCGUUGUCCGGAAUUACUGGGCGUAAAGAGCUCGUAGGUGGUUUGUCGCGUUGUUCGUGAAAACUCACAGCUCAACUGUGGGCGUGCGGGCGAUACGGGCAGACUGGAGUACUGCAGGGGAGACUGGAAUUCCUGGUGUAGCGGUGGAAUGCGCAGAUAUCAGGAGGAACACCGAUGGCGAAGGCGGGUCUCUGGGCAGUAACUGACGCUGAGGAGCGAAAGCGUGGGGAGCGAACAGG